GACAGAGGGUGCAAACGUUGCUCGGAAUCACUGGGCAUAAAGCGCACGUAGGCCGUCUACUAAGUCCGAUGUGAAAUCCCCCGGCUCAACCGGGGAACUGCAUCGGAUACUGGUGGACUCGAGAGUUGUAGGGGUGGACGGAACUCCAGGUGGAGCGGUGAAAUGCGUAGAUAUCUGGAGGAACACCGGAGGCGAAAGCGGCCCACUGGGCAUCUUCUGACGCUGAGGUGCGAAAGCUAGGGUAGCAAACGGG
rnacentral:rRNA from 1 species